AAGGUUUCUCCAAGCACACAGAAUCUCAAACGAAAGUGAUCCACCCAGAAUCGUUAGCUUCUAUGACUCUAUGAACCAUAAAAAAUGUAAAAUCAAAAUUUGGGGUUUUUUUAGCUGAAUGUGGAGAGAAGUCGAGAGAAAUGUUGUGUUUAGUUCAUAAAAAUGGAAAAAGAAGAAGGGUAAAUCGAUUUUGGAAGCAUUAAUUGUUCAUGGUGGUUGGGGUAUUAUUGACAAUGGUAAUCUUGUAAUUACUUAAAGAAGAUGAGGUGAGAGAGUAAAAAUGUCAUCUUCGAAAAAAAAAAAAAAUUUGAUGGCAUUUUCAUGAAUUAUAUCAACUUGUGGGGGGAAUAGAAAAAAACUAAUUUUCAAAAAAAAAAAGAUUAAUUUUGUGUUUGAUAUUGAAUUUUAGGUCAAUUUUGCAAAAAACCCUAGUAAAAAUUAUGUAAUUGCUUUUUGCCUACCCUGUCUAGUACUCUUUCGUCCCAAAAGCAAUAGACAGAGAUAAUUACAAGCUC
rnacentral:lncRNA from 1 species